rnacentral:rRNA from 1 species
UACGUAGGUGGCAAGCGUUGUCCGGAUUUACUGGGCGUAAAGAGCGCGCAGGCGGUCGUUCAAGUCGCGUGUGAAAGCCCCCGGCUCAACUGGGGAGGGUCACGCGAUACUGAUCGACUCGAAGGCAGGAGAGGGAAGUGGAAUUCCCGGUGUAGUGGUGAAAUGCGUAGAUAUCGGGAGGAACACCAGUGGCGAAGGCGACUUCCUGGCCUGUUCUUGACGCUGAGGCGCGAAAGCGUGGGUAGCAAACAGG